AUUGAACGCUGGCGGCAUGCCUUACACAUGCAAGUCGAACGGUAACAGGUCUUCGGAUGCUGACGAGUGGCGAACGGGUGAGUAAUACAUCGGAACGUGCCCGAUCGUGGAGAUAACGAAGCGAAAGCUUUGCUAAUACCGCAUAAGAUCUACGGAUGAAAGCAGGGGACCGCAAGGCCUUGCGCGAACGGAGCGGCCGAUGGCAGAUUAGGUAGUUGGUGGGAUAAAAGCUUACCAAGCCGACGAUCUGUAGCUGGUCUGAGAGGACGACCAGCCACAGUGGAACUGAGACACGGCCAAGACUCCUACGGGAGGCAGCAGUGGGGAAUUUUGGACAAUGUGCGAAAGCCUGAUCCAGCCAUGCCGGGUGCAUGAUGAAGGCCUUCGGGUUGUAAACUGCUUUUGUACGGAACGAAAAGACUCUGGUUAAUACCUGGGGUCCAUGACGGUACCGUAAGAAUAAGCACCGGCUAACUACGUGCCAGCCGCCGCCGUAACAC
rnacentral:rRNA from 1 species